GUAGGUGAACUUACUAUGCUUCCUGCAUUUAUCCUUUUAGCUGAAAUUUCCCUGACUUUUCUUUACCUUUUCAUUUUAUUAGGUUAAUAAAACUUGGUUUUUGAGCAUUUCGCCACCCCAGGAGGGCCGUGGGCCCCCCGUCCAAUUCAUCAAGUACCUAAUGAGCGGCCCCGGAGGUCCCGGGCCAUCCAUUCCAGAAGCUCUCUCUGCCUUGUAAAGGCUCUCUUGCCUUCGCCAGCUUGUCAGGAUGCUGCCAGCUCCGGGCAUGGGGCUGUGUCUGCCCCAGCAUGGUGGAGAGCUGGAAUCUGAGCACUCGAGCUUGGGGACAGCUGCCCACCUUGAGCCCACAAGAGGAAGGAGCACGGGGAGGAGGUUGUGCUUGUGGGGGGUGCAGAACAAGGGAAAACAGAGAAGCCGGCUUGAACCAUCUCUCUUGCGAUGUGCCCUCUGCAUUAUCACCCACUGGCCCCGAUGCCAGCUGACAGACCUCAUCCAAACACUUGGCUGGGAUUUGGGGACUUCUUUUAAUGCCUGCUAGUGAGUUUGCUGGCUUCCUGGAUGCUCAUUUCUGGUUCUGCACAAAAGAGCCACAUUUCCUUUUGGAACCGGGACCAGGAGACAGACAGCAGCAGACAUUGGAAAUUGUUGUGAAGAUUUGAGACUGUGAACGUAAAGGCGGGGCCUAUAGAACGUGCUGGAUAAAGGUCUCUGGGCCAGUCCCUGGAGCCCCGAAAUAAAUGGGCAGAGGGGGCUGCCUGGCAUCGCGUCUUGGCCACCUACCGGCCGGACACCCCAGCACUCUCGCGGCCCUGCUGCCAGCAUGAGACGUGGCUGUGCCGGCCUGAGGAAGGACGAAGAACGUGCAGCCCGCUCGCCCGGUCAGCGCCGUGGAGCUCCUGCACACGUAAGUCAGCCUAGCCAGUGUCGGCGGGGACGCCCAGCUGACUGCCCAGGCGCAGGGCCGGUAAAUGCUGCCCUCGCGUGUCGCGAGGCUUCGUUGUGUGCAGCUUGCUGUGGGGAAAGCUGUUACCCAGUUGCCAGUGUGACGAGCCGCUCGCGUGGUCUAAGAUGGCCCUUGAGAACACGGUCGUGCAGCCGGGCCGACGGAGACUGGGAUUCCGGCUCAGCCAUUUCCGAACAGCUGUCCUGGGGGAAGUCGGUUUGUUUCUCUGGGCCUCGGUGUUGUCCUCUGUAGAGUGGGGAUGACAGUAGGACCUACCUCAGGGGGCUUGUGGGAAUUGAGGUGAUAUGUGUAAGGCACACAGAGCACAGCAGGUAAUAACUGUCGCCAUUAUUCUGAGCAGGAUUAGUGAUAAUAUUGUUAUAAAAGCCAACAACCAUGAUCCAGCCUUCACUCUCCUCUCUCUGAUCCCUGACACGUGCCCUCGAGGUUUCAGCCAUGCUCACGACUGCCUGCUCCUCAAAGGCUCCAUGCUCCCUCGUGCCUCAGUGCCUUUGCACAUGCUGCUCCUUCCCCUGGGGUGCUGAGACUAGUGAGUCUCUUUUCUUCAAGACCCCACUUAAGUGCAGUGAAAAACUCAGGGUGGUUAUCUGAAUAUUUCCCGUCUUCAUCCUGUCCUGUCCCGGCUGUCAUAUGCACGAGCAUAUUCUCAAUUCAACUCUGGGGUCCCCUUGAGUUAGCCAG